rnacentral:rRNA from 3 species
AAAACUUUCAACAACGGAUCUCUUGGUUCUCGCAACGAUGAAGAACGCAGCGAAAUGCGAUACGUAAUAUGAAUUGCAGGUUUUCGUGAAUCAUCGAAUCUUUGAACGCACAUUGC